UGUGUGAUUUAUAACACUCCGUAAAAUGUGUUAGCCGACCUAAACCGUUGGCAAAAUAGG
rnacentral:ribozyme from 1 species